CGAACGAUGAUCUCCAGCUUGCUGGGGGGAUUAGUGGCGAACGGGUGAGUAACACGUGAGUAACCUGCCCUUAACUCUGGGAUAAGCCUGGGAAACUGGGUCUAAUACCGGAUAUGACUCCUCAUCGCAUGGUGGGGGGUGGAAAGCUUUUUGUGGUUUUGGAUGGACUCGCGGCCUAUCAGCUUGUUGGUGAGGUAAUGGCUCACCAAGGCGACGACGGGUAGCCGGCCUGAGAGGGUGACCGGCCACACUGGGACUGAGACACGGCCCAGACUCCUACGGGAGGCAGCAGUGGGGAAUAUUGCACAAUGGGCGCAAGCCUGAUGCAGCGACGCCGCGUGAGGGAUGACGGCCUUCGGGUUGUAAACCUCUUUCAGUAGGGAAGAAGCGAAAGUGACGGUACCUGCAGAAGAAGCGCCGGCUAACUACGUGCCAGCAGCCGCGGUAAUACGUAGGGCGCAAGCGUUAUCCGGAAUUAUUGGGCGUAAAGAGCUCGUAGGCGGUUUGUCGCGUCUGCCGUGAAAGUCCGGGGCUCAACUCCGGAUCUGCGGUGGGUACGGGCAGACUAGAGUGAUGUAGGGGAGACUGGAAUUCCUGGUGUAGCGGUGAAAUGCGCAGAUAUCAGGAGGAACACCGAUGGCGAAGGCAGGUCUCUGGGCAUUAACUGACGCUGAGGAGCGAAAGCAUGGGGAGCGAACAGGA
rnacentral:rRNA from 1 species